rnacentral:rRNA from 1 species
AAGGCGCAUAGAGGAUGCCUAGGCGAUGACAGGCGAAGAAGGACGCGGCAAACUGCGAAAAUCCACGAUAAGCUGUUAACAGGCGAUAUAGUCGUGGGUAUCCGAAUGGGGCAACCCAAUAGUGAGAACCACUAUUACCAAUUAAAUGGGGCGAACUCAGGGAAGUGAAACAUCUCAGUACCUGAAGGAACAGAAAGAAAACUCGAUUCCGUAAGUAGCGGUGAGCGAAAGCGGAAGAGCCUAAACCAGAGCGAUCUGGGGUUGUGGGGCAGAUAACGUGAUAGGAAGAUAUAUAGAAGAAAGGCAUGGGAAGGCCUGCCAUAGAGGGUAAAAGCCCCGUAAUUGAAAUGUAUCAACCGUCUAAUCUGUACCCGAGUACUAUGGGAAACGUGGGGUCCUGUAGGAAUCAGGAGGGACCACCCUCUAAGGCUAAAUACUAGUCAUCGACCGAUAGCGAACGAGUACCGUGAGGGAAAGGUGAAAAGAACCCUUGUUAAGGGAGUGAAAUAGAACCUGAAACUAUGUGCCUACAAGCGGUCGGAGCGUAGCGUAAGUGCGUGACGGCGUGCCUUUUGCAUAAUGAGCCUACGAGUUAUCGUAUGCAGCGAGGUUAAGCCGAUAGGUGAAGCCGUAGGGAAACCGAGUCUGAAUAGGGCGAACUAGUUGCAUGCGUUAGACCCGAAGCCAGUCGAUCUAUCCAUGGGCAGGUUGAAGCAGCGGUAAGACGCUGUGGAGGACCGAACCAGUUUGGGUUGAAAACCAUUUGGAUGACCUGUGGAUAGGGGUGAAAGGCCAAUCAAGGCUGGUGAUAGCUGGUUCUCCCCGAAAUGCAUUGAGGUGCAGCGUUGAUAUUUAAACACCAGGGGUAGAGCACUGUUUGAGCUAGGGGGCAUACCGCUUACCGAACUCAUAUAAACUCCGAAUACUGUUGCGAAUAUAUCAGCAGUGAGACUACGGGUGAGAAGAUCCGUGGUCGAGAGGGUAAGAGCCCAGACCGUCAGCUAAGGUCCCAAAAUAUACACUAAGUGGUAAAGGAUGUGGAAAUGGUGAAACAGCCAGGAGGUUGGCUUAGAAGCAGCCAUCCUUUAAAGAAAGCGUAACAGCUCACUGGUCUAGCGUUUCUGCGCCGAAGAUAUAACGGGGCUAAGUGUAUUACCGAAGCUACGGAUUAUAUUCAAUAAGAAUAUAGUGGUAGGGGAGCAUUCUGUUCAGCGGAGAAGGUAUGUACCGUAAGGUAUACUGGAGCGUUCAGAAGCGAGAAUGUAGGCAUGAGUAGCGAUAAAACGGGUGAGAAACCCGUUCGCCGUAAACCUAAGGUUUCCACCGGCAGGGUAAUCCGCGGUGGGUUAGUCGGUCCCUAAGACGAGUCCGAAAGGGGUAGUUGAUGGGAAACAGGUUAAUAUUCCUGUACCGGCAUAAUACGUUAAACGAUGAGGUAACGGAGAAGGUUAGGUGAUCAGAUUUAUGGAAUAGUCUGUUUAAGUAAGUAGGUAGCCGGUAUAGGAAAGACCGUACUGGUGUUGAUCCGAGAUACGAAUACGAGCUGAGUAAUAUCAGCGAAGUCAUUGAUACCCAGCUUCCGAGAAAACCCUCUAAGGAGAUAUUAUGUCGUCCGUACCGCAAACCGACACAGGUAGGUGAGGAGAGAAUCCUAAGGCGUAUGAGAUAAGUUCACUUAAGGAACUCGGCAAACUACUACCGUAACUUCGGGAUAAGGUAGGCUCCGAGUAUGUGAGACAUGCACAUGUUUAGCAGAAAGGAGUUGCAGAUGAGAGGCCCAGGCGACUGUUUAACAAAAACAUAGCACUCUGCGAAUUCGUAAGAAGAAGUAUAGGGUGUGACGCCUGCCCGGUGCUGGAAGGUUAAUAGGAUGGGUGCGAGCUCAGAAUUGAAGCCCCAGUAAACGGCGGCCGUAACUAUAACGGUCCUAAGGUAGCGAAAUUCCUUGUCAGGUAAGUUCUGACCUGCACGAAUGGCGUAACGAUCUGGGCGCUGUCUCAAGUGAAUACUCAGCGAAAUUGCAGCAGCGGUGAAAAUGCCGCUUAACCGCAGCGGGACGGAAAGACCCCGUGAACCUUUACUAUAACUUGGCAGUGAUAUUUGGUAUAUAAUGUGUAGGAUAGGUGGGAGACUAAGAAGCGUGUGCGCCAGCAUGUGUGGAGUCAUCCUUGAAAUACCACCCUUUGUGUGCUGACUAUCUAACCUGGCCGCUUUGUAAGCGGAGGGACAUUGUCAGGCGGGUAGUUUGACUGGGGCGGUCGCCUCCAAAAGAGUAACGGAGGCGCGCGAAGGUGCCCUCAGGUUGGUUGGACACCAACUGACGAGUGCAAAAGCAUAAGGGCGCUUAACUGUGAGACUGACGGGUCGAGCAGGUUGGAAACAAGGCUUUAGUGAUCCGGUGAUUCCAAGUGGAAGGGUCAUCGCUCAACGGAUAAAAGGUACUCCGGGGAUAACAGGCUGAUCUCCUCCAAGAGUUCACAUCGACGAGGAGGUUUGGCACCUCGAUGUCGGCUCAUCACAUCCUGGGGCUGUAGCAGGUCCCAAGGGUUCGGCUGUUCGCCGAUUAAAGUGGUACGCGAGCUGGGUUCAGAACGUCGUGAGACAGUUCGGUCCUUAUCCGCUGUGGUCGUAAGAGAUUUGAGAAGGUUUGCCCCUAGUACGAGAGGACCGGGGUGAACGGACCUCUGGUGUGUGGAUUGUUCCCCAAGAGCAUAGUCCAGUAGCCACGUUCGGAACGGAUAACCGCUGAAAGCAUCUAAGCGGGAAGCCGGCUUCAAGAUAAGAUCUCUCAGGACAUAAGUCCGUAAGACUCCAUGUAGACUACGUGGUUGAUAGGUUGGAGGUGUAAGUGUCGUGAGGCAUUGAGCUGACCAAUACUAAUAAGUCGAGGGCUUGACUU